CGCAUCUGUGCAUGCAGCAUAUCAAUAAGCGGAGGAAAAGAAACUAACAAGGAUUCCCCUAGUAACGGCGAGUGAAGCGGGAAGAGCUCAAAUUUGAAAUCUUAAAGGGUUUCCCUUUACGAAUUGUAGUUUAAAGAAGUGUUUUCUGUUGAGGUUUUGGUAAAAGUUCUUUGGAAUAGGACAUCAUAGAGGGUGAGAAUCCCGUAUUUGACCUUUACUUUCAACUUUGUGAUACACUUUCAAAGAGUCGGAUUGUUUGGGAAUGCAGUCCAAAAUGGGUGGUAAAUUUCAUCUAAAGCUAAAUAUUGGCGAGAGACCGAUAGCGAACAAGUACCGUGAGGAAAGAUGAAAAGAACUUUGAAAAGAGAGUUAAACAGUACGUGAAAUUGUCAAAAGGGAAGCGUUUGACACCAGUGUUGUUUUUCUGAAAAUCAAUUAAAGAACUGUUUAUGCUAAGCUGUUUAGACUUUAUCAGCUAUCUGUUUAGUUUUGAGCUUUUCUUUAAUGCACUUUUCAGUUAACAAGUCAACAUCAAUUUCUUUUGCUGUAAAAAAGCUUGAGGAAGGUGGCUUGAGAUUCGUCUUAAGUGUUUAUAGCCUCUUGCCUAUGCAGUCGGAGAGAUUGAGGUCUGCAGCGUAGAUCCUUCGGGGCUAAAUGCAUUUGUGCUAAGUUAUAGCAUUUUAUAGACAACUUGUUGACUAUGAUUUGUCUUGUAGCUUACUCGCUUAUGUUAUUCUACCUACGCUUAGGGAUGUUGACAGCAGUAUAGACUGU
rnacentral:rRNA from 1 species